GUGUUUGAUGAAAUGCCCAACCACACCAACAACGCGAAUUUAGAUAUACAUGGUGGAAUCAACGAGGUAGCAUGACCUUCAGCCUUCUACAAGAGGUCAACUCAGUUCAAAUCAUUUAGCUAUGUGCAGUACUAUUGCCAAUCGUCUGUUUAGAUGAUUUUUACAUCAAAAUGGUGAUUUUAUACUAUUUUUGUAUGUGGUUACAGUGAUGGAUAAGAUAAGUAAACAUGUAUUUCAAAUCGCCAUCAAGCACAUCAGUCCUUUGAAUGUUAAGCACAUCAAAUGUUUUCAGUUCGUGCAUCAGUUACAAUCAAGCCAGAAACAUUAUGUGUUCUAUUUUUGUAGAUCAGAGUCCUAGAAGUGGCCAGUUUAUAACAUUCCCCCAGUUCCUUUGUUCUGCAUAUAUUUCUCAAACUAAUUCUGCCAUCGAUUAGGAGUGACAUAACCAUGACAUUGCCAAGCUUUGUCUUCCAUGCUCGGGUCGAUGACACCUGAAAUUCUUAGGAGUUCUUUCGAAUCGAAACAGCAGAAGAUAAGCUUGUGGUGACAUUGUGAAGUUUUGGCAUUGGACCGUUUGAAAAUUUAGACUGGCAGAGAGCUAGAGACCCUGGUGCUCUGAAGGAUGUUAAAUUUGAGAACACAAAUUAUUGUUGUUAAAUAAUCUUUGCUUCCUUCAUUUGGAAAAGUUAGCGUUGUUGGGAGUUUGAUGUUGCGGUAGGCCACGGCAGUGGCAAGCUGGGAGCCGGCGAGGUAGGCGACAUCGUCGAUGACGGCCGUCAUGGCCUCCACCUGUGCCCUCCUGCAGGUGGACUGCUGGUCAUUGAUGCGGCGAGUCAGGCUCUUGCAGCAAAAUCUAUGAUAUUCUCUGGAUGAGCUGCAGGUAGGCCAAGCUGUUGACGAGGAUCCGACGGCGACCACCAAGGUAUGCCCUCCUCUCCUUGCCCUUGGGCUGGCAUCUCUAAUCAGGUUGUAAUCUGCUGGUGUAGUGUUGCUCUGCUUUGAUUUGGGAAUUCCUAUGGGAUCUAUUUUUGAUUGGCCAGAGCUGGUUUGUUUGCUGCCUUUGGUUUAACAUGAUGCUAUAAUGCACUAAGGAGAGAUAUGUUAUUCCAGUACAAGUGGCCGGUCAGUUAAUUUGAGGAUUUUUUUUCCUUUUGUUCUUCAGGCCUAUAGUGUGUGGUUUCAGUCCGACAGUUAAAACUUGCAUUGGCUUGUUAAAACUUCACGUGAAUCAGUAGGGGAGGAUGAUCGCAUAUGGAAAAUACUGCUCCAUGGUACUAAAAUCUGUUAUAGGUGUAGGAAGUCAAUGCUAGGACCUCUUGGGAUGUGCUCAUGCAUGCUUGGUCUGAACCUUUUCUUUUCAAUCAAUUGAUGAACCGAUGACAUCAGAUUAUGCUGUAUGUGUACUCCACUACGUAUGGAUAGCCCGCUCGUCGUAUCUCGACAGAGUGAAAACAACUUUGAUCGAUGGAGAUGGAUUUCUUUCCUGUUGGUCCAAUUGUAUUUUCAGGUUGUUCUUUCAGGUCCGUUUUCUCUCUAGCUUCUUGAUGUUUUCCUUCUCCGGUGUAAUUUAGUUGCCAUUUGUAAUAGUCAAAUUUUCAUGUCAAAUAUGACUUGAAGAUUUUCUAUGCGAAUUGACAUGUCAUUUAUUUUCUAAUUAACCUAUUGUUGAUGGUGUCUGAUCUCCUUUCUGACAUAUUCCAAGAAUAAGUUCUCAUGUUCAGUAAAUGCAAUUUGGUUGAUUAUUUUGAAUUAUUGCAUUAGGUUAAUAGGAUUUAAUUGUACUUAAAUUUUGUUUUGCACAGGUAUACAAACAACAGUGUAACAACUCUAGGAAUCUACAUCUUAAUACAGCCCUAUUUUCGGGGAUUCAAAUCUCCAGGCUGAAAUCAACAAGCCCACAUAAUCUUCAGCCUUCCACAAUUAUGUUUUGCUUCAUGUUCUAUGAUCAGGUUGUAAUCUGCUGGUGCGGUGCUGCCCUGCUUUGAUUUGGGGAUUCAUCUGGGAUCUAAUUUUGACCGAACAAAGCUGGUUUGUUGGCUGCCGGCUGGUGUCACCUGAUGGUAUUGUGCUAUGGAGAGAGAUGUUUUUCCAGCAAUAGAAGUGGCCAGUUAAUUAAGUUGAGGAUUUGUGCCAUCUCUUCUUCAGGCCUGUAGCUUGUGGUUUCAGUCUGAUAGUUAAAGUCACAUUGUCUUGCAACAUCGAGUGACUGCUGUGUUAACUGUUUGUGGUUUCAGUCGGAUAGUUAAAGUUGCAUUUUCAGUCGGACACAUGUUUGUUGUUUUGCCUGCUUUUUUCUUGACUGCGCACUCUCGCCGUUCGUCGUCGUGCAAUGUUGAAGUUAUUCAUGCGGUGGGGUGGAUGAAACAAUCCUUCUGCUAUUGCCACUGCUUCCGUUCAUCAAGAUAUUUGUCCAUGCAUAUCUUCUUGAUGAACAGACAUAAAACCUUGGAUGCCCAUAAAUAUGUUAGGUACUCACCUGUGUUUACUGAACAUAUAUGUACUUACGUUUUUUUUUACUUUUAUAUGCUUCAACUCCAGCUAACAAUCUGCUGAUAAGAAGCGGUCCCAACAGAUUUUAUGCAUUCAAAAAUAAUUCUAACUUCAUCAAACGAAUUAGAGGACCGACCGUAGGUUUCAUGUACGUGUGAAUCAGUAGACAACUCUCAUUGUUUUUCUAUAUACUAGAUGACCUGGUGCGCCAAAUGGCGCAGAGACCCAUUUGAAACCAUGUAUGGGUUGAAAAUAUUUGCAUUUGUUAGUAAUUUUAUGUUUUAAAAA